UGCUGGAGGUAUCAGAAGUGCGAAUGCUGACAUAAGUAACGAUAAAGCGGGUGAAAAGCCCGCUCGCCGGAAGACCAAGGGUUCCUGUCCAACGUUAAUCGGGGCAGGGGGAGUCGACCCCUAAGGCGAGGCCGAAAGGCGUAGUCGAUGGGAAACAGGUUAAUAUUCCUGUACUUGGUGUUACUGCGAAGGGGGGACGGAGAAGGCUAUGUUGGCCGGGCGACGGUUGUCCCGGUUUAAGCGUGUAGGCUGGUUUUCCAGGCAAAUCCGGAAAAUCAAGGCUGAGGCGUGAUGACGAGGCACUACGGUGCUGAAGCAACAAAUGCCCUGCUUCCAGGAAAAGCCUCUAAGCAUCAGGUAACAUCAAAUCGUACCCCAAACCGACACAGGUGGUCAGGUAGAGAAUACCAAGGCGCUUGAGAGAACUCGGGUGAAGGAACUAGGCAAAAUGGUGCCGUAACUU
rnacentral:rRNA from 1 species